GAGCCGGACAAACAGGAAACUUUCUCUCUAAUGAGAGAUAACGACGGUUGAACGACAGCAGAGGAAAGAUUUUUCAGCAACGACGUCUUUCUAGAGAAACGAGCUUACAAGAAAAUAAGCAACAAACCAAUGAAGCAGAAAAUAAAUCACAGUGCAGUAAAAAAUGAUGCAACUGUACACGUGUUAGUCGAUUCAGAAGUCUGUAGUUUACUUUUUCUUUGUUCAAAUGAUCUAACAGGAGAUCCAGGUCACGGGUCCAUUGUAUUUUCUGAACAGCAGAACAGUUUAUAGAGAGCCAAUACAAUGACACUCGGGCAGGAGAGUGUGAGGCCUGAAACCCUGCACACAGAGUCAAAAUGUAUUUAGUGAACAAACUGAACAAACUGGUUCUUCUGUUUUUCACCUGAACGCAUCAUAAAAAAGGGAUUAACACAAAUGAAUUGUUGGUUCAUGUAAUUUAAAAUAUUCUUUGUGGUUUAAUCUGACUGCACCUGGUUGUUCACAUGCGUGCCUGCCUGAUGGCAUCCUGCCAUGAGGAAAUAAAACUCCUCUGACUAUUUUUAGACGCCAGAGGACAAAGUUCAGCUGAUUACAAACCCAAAGGCGAAAACACCUGAAUGCACCAGAUAUUUUUAUCAGCAGUGUGUGCUCUCUGUGGAUCGGUCGACGUGCAGCUGCUCUUAACUGGAAUUUCUGAAUCCUCAACUGCAAAGAAAAAGACUUGUUUUUGAAACAUCUGCAUUGAUUAAUAAUCUGUAUUUGGAGGCGAAAGGAAAGAGGUGAUUUGUUGGAGUGAGGCUCAACAUGAGGCUCUUUGACGAGCAGACGCCAGCAGAGCCACGAUUCAGCCAUCACCACCUGCCCGAACAACAUGACAAACAGCUCAGCAGUGUGGAGUUUCCAGCAGUCAUCUACCUGCUGAUGAAACAGAAACAAUCCUCAGAGCUGAUCGACUUCAGCUUCAGCAUGGAGCCUUCAGUCGCAAAACUUGUGUGCGUGAGGACGAGCAGUAAGGGAUAUCCUCCACCUUUCUAGCCUCUGGCCUGAGCUGUACAGUUAUGAUGCAGUCCAGAGGAAUGACUCCCUGCAGAGUGUGCCGCUCGAUGGGAAACUUCAGAUUCAAAGUGAGCUUCAUUGUUCCAGCCGUGAGAUGAGGAAUCUCUUCUUCACGUUGGACGUCAGCAACUUGCCGUUAGGAGCUCGACUUGUAAAUAAUCUGCCUUCCUGUGACGAAGGUUGUUCCAGGUCAGCAGUUUAAUAAUGUGGGGGAGUAAGAAGAGAAGUGAACUCGCUGCAUGAAGACCUACAGAUGGAAAUGAAAAUCCAAGCUGAGCUUUCGCAGUUUGAAUAACUUGAAAAACAAGUGAAACAAAUUAGUGCGAUAAAGUCAGGGUUGAUUUUUCCAGAAGAACUCUUGAAUUUUUUCUAACGUACUGUAAUCUUAAGUUUACUAUCUGGAUACUUCUGUAGCUGCUUUGACGUUUGAUUUUUGGGAGCACUGCAGGAUGUUAUUAAUUUAUCUGUUCAUCCGUUGACUGUCUGACAAAAUAUAAUUAGACGACAGAGAUUUUGUUAUUUUGUCUCUUUUUUGGGUUCUUCAUGGUGUUGGUUUGUUAAAAAGUAAGCUAUAAAAUCAUUGUUAUAUUUACAGAUGAUAUUUUUAUACUAAACGUCCAUAUCUACAACAAAAUGAUCACACGUUAAUUUAAAUAUAUUACAGUAACAAGAAACAUUGUUAAAAUUCAUUUUCCAGUGUCAGUCAUCUGAAUCUAAUUUUUCAUUCUUCUUGUUUGAAAACUAGAAUUUUCCGUUUUGAUCUCGCUAAACAUUUUGAAUAUAUAUUGUUAGAUACAGUUUUGUUAGUAUAUUUCUGAACUACAGGAGAAAGAAAGGUGUACAUGGUUUGUUUUCUAAUGCCUAAUCUUUUUCUCAUAUGUGUCAACACACUGUUAGAAACCUGUAUGUUCAUAUUGUUUGUGUUGUGUCUGACUCCGCUGACAGUUCUUUUUAUUUUAAUGUAUGAUAAACAUAAGCAGGUUUCUACAUUCACACACUUCUUUCAUGAUUAUAUGAAUGUGUUAUUGGAGCUGGUCCCAGUGGGAUUGAAACUGUAACUGUGCGUCACAACCUUGUUGUGUUUUUUAUGACACGUUUGAAUGGUUUGUCUUUCAGGGAGUCUGUAUCACAAAGUUUCUGCCCGCUGCCGUGAGGCGAUAAAGUUUUUAAAGUCUGAUUUGAAUCAUGCUGACUUUUGUCUAAAACAUGGUGUUGUUCAAUCUGAAGCAAAGCAGAGCUGACACAGAAUUUACAGCAUCAAUAAAAGUUAUUAGCACCAAA